CCCAGAAAGAAAUCGCCUUGUGGUUCCCUGAUGGCCCUAUUAACUGGCAGAGCAGCCUUCACCCUUGGAUCUAUGAGUAAACUAAUGUUUGGUUGAGGAGCCUAAUUGUUCCUGCAGUUAGACUUAUCCCUAUCCCUAUCCCUAUUUCCUUAUUUAUGGUUACUCCUUGUUGGUGAACUGUUAUGAAGUAUUGAGUUAAAUUGAGACCAAUCCUGGUUAUGUUGGCUGCUUUCAUUCUUGUGGUUGCCAUAUACAAUAUUUAAGCUUUUUUGUUGACUGUAUUAUGAAUUGAGUUUGUUAAUGGUUAGCACA
rnacentral:lncRNA from 1 species